UACGUAGGGUCCGAGCGUUGUCCGGAAUUAUUGGGCGUAAAGGGCUCGUAGGCGGUUUUGUCGCGUCGGGGAGUGAAAAACCCUACAGCUUAACUGUGGGCUUGCUUUCGAUACGGGCAGACUUGAGGCAUGCAGGGGAGAACGGAAUUCCUGGUGUAGCGGUGAAAUGCGCAGAUAUCAGGAGGAACACCGGCGGCGAAGGCGGCGAUCUGGGUCGAUACUGACGCUGAGGUGCGAAAGCGUGGGGAGCAAACAGG
rnacentral:rRNA from 1 species